CUUAACAUGCUUAAGAUUUGUCUUUCUUUCCAACUACAUCUUAUGGAGUUAUGAAAAUUUGGAAGAUCUUCUAAUUGACAAUCAUAUUGUUUUAGAAGUAUAUAUAUCCUAUAUAUGGGUAAUAGAUAACAUCCAACGAACUAAAUCUUAUUUAAGUUCGUUCUUCUCCUUAAUGGAGAAAUUUAUUAUCUUAUGAUGCUUCUUUCCUUGAUAUCUUUCAAGGAGACUCAUCUAAUGUGUUUCUUUUCCUUGGAUCAAAUCUAAGGAGGUAAAUACUUUAGACGUCUUACUCAUCAACUUACAUUACUUGAAUUCUUUGAAACAUUUUGCAAAGUAUUCGGACUUGUGUUUAUUCAAAAUAAACUAUAGUCCAACCGAGAGUGAUCUUCGGUGAAUGUCAUACAACAUGAGUAGUAUUAUGUUGUGGACAAGUGCCACUAACAUCUAAGUGAAUUAACCUCAACAACUUUGUGAUUCUUUCUUCUUUCCAAAAGAAUAAAGAUUCAAACAUUUCGCCUCUAUACAAUUUUAACAAGAAGGUAUUGGAUCCGGAUCUAACGAUCCAAAGCAUCCAUCUAUCACCAACUCGUAACUUAUGUUUUAGAGGUAUCACAACUUAGUUGGGAUUAGUCACUACCUUGCAACCUUUUGGGUUUUAAGCAUCAUUAUAUUCUAAACAGUUAACACUACCAUAUCAUCUCUACUAUAGAGACAAUCAAUUAGAUUACCAUAAUCCAAUCAUUGAUUAAUAAAGAACAAUGUUUUGUCAAACAAAAUAUUUAUCCAUUUCACAUAGUGACGGAAUUUAGUUCCUUAAAAUUGGAAUAUAAAGACAAUCUAUGUUUUUCCAAUUUCUUUGGUAGUUCAUAUGAGGAAGUAAGUACUAUCUGCUUUCGCAGAGAUCUACAUUUGAUUCACGUUUCGAAUGUGAAGUACUUUCUCUUCUCUCAUUAAUCUU
rnacentral:lncRNA from 1 species